rnacentral:rRNA from 1 species
UACGGAGUGUGCGAGCGUUAUCCGGAUUCACUGGGUUUAAAGGGUGCGUAGGUGGGAAUGUAAGUCAGUGGUGAAAUCUCUGAGCUUAACUCAGAAACUGCCAUUGAUACUAUGUUUCUUGAAUUUUCUGGAGGUCAGCGGAAUAUGUCAUGUAGCGGUGAAAUGCUUAGAUAUGACAUAGAACACCAAUUGCGAAGGCAGCUGGCUACAGGGAUAUUGACACUGAGGCACGAAAGCGUGGGGAUCAAACAGG